rnacentral:rRNA from 1 species
UAUGUAGGUGGCAAGCGUUGUCCGGAUUUACUGGGCGUAAAGAGCGCGCAGGCGGUCGUUCAAGUCGCGUGUGAAAGCCCCCGGCUCAACUGGGGAGGGUCACGCGAUACUGAUCGACUCGAAGGCAGGAGAGGGAAGUGGAAUUCCCGGUGUAGUGGUGAAAUGCGUAGAUAUUCGGAGGAACACCAGUGGCGAAGGCGGCUCACUGGUCCGGUACUGACGCUGAGGUGCGAAAGCGUGGGGAGCAAACAGG